rnacentral:rRNA from 1 species
CCUACGGGAGGCAUCAGUGAGGAAUAUUGGUCAAUGGACGAGAGUCUGAACCAGCCAAGUAGCGUGAAGGAUGACUGCCCUAUGGGUUGUAAACUUCUUUUAUAAAGGAAUAAAACGAGGCACGUGUGCCUUUUUGCAUGUACUUUAUGAAUAAGGAUCGGCUAACUCCGUGCCAGCAGCCGCGGUAAUACGGAGGAUCCGAGCGUUAUCCGGAUUUAUUGGGUUUAAAGGGAGCGUAGAUGGGUUGUUAAGUCAGUUGUGAAAGUUUGCGGCUCAACCGUAAAAUUGCAAUUGAUACUGGCAGUCGUGAGUACAGUUGAGGUAGGCGGAAUUCGUGGUGUAGCGGUGAAAUGCUUAGAUAUCACGAAGAACCCCGAUUGCGAAGGCAGCUUACUAAACUGUGACUGACAUUGAUGCUCGAAAGUGUGGGUAUCAAACAGGAUUAGAUACCCGUGUAGUC